rnacentral:rRNA from 1 species
CCUACGGGUGGCAGCAGUGAGGAAUAUUGGUCAAUGGGCUUACGCCUGAACCAGCCAAGUCGCGUGAGGGAAGACUGCCCUAUGGGUUGUAAACCUCUUUUGUCAGGGAGCAACGCCGGCUACGUGUAGCCGGACUGAGAGUACCUGAAGAAAAAGCAUCGGCUAACUCCGUGCCAGCAGCCGCGGUAAUACGGAGGAUGCGAGCGUUAUCCGGAUUUAUUGGGUUUAAAGGGUGCGUAGGCGGAUUGAUAAGUUAGAGGUGAAAUGUCCGAGCUUAACUCGGGAACUGCCUCUAAUACUGUUGAUCUAGAGAGUAGAUGCGGUAGGCGGAAUGUAUGGUGUAGCGGUGAAAUGCUUAGAGAUCAUACAGAACACCGAUUGCGAAGGCAGCUUACCAAUCUAUAUCUGACGUUGAGGCACGAAAGCGUGGGGAGCAAACAGGAUUAGAUACCCUUGUAGUC